ACAUUAUACUUUCUAAGCAAAUCUAGAGUCUAAAGCAAUAUGGCCCACAUUGGAACUUUUAUCGCAAUCGCUCUGUUGGCAGCCGUGGCUCAACCUAAUUGCCCAGGAGGUUGUGCUGGUUGGGUGAAACAAGGCUAGAAUGAUGCCAAAUUAAAUAUGGUUUUAAUCAAAUACAUCCCGGCAUUGAAAAACUAA
rnacentral:sRNA from 1 species